UACGGAGGGGGCGAGCGUUAUUCGGAAUUAUUGGGCGUAAAGGGCGCGUAGGCGGGAGAGUAAGUCCGCGGUGAAAUCUCACGGCUCAACCGUGAAACUGCCGUUGAUACUGCUUUUCUUGAGUUCGGGAGAGGUUGAUGGAAUUCCAGGUGUAGCGGUGAAAUGCGUAGAUAUCUGGAAGAACACCAGUGGCGAAGGCGGUCAACUGGCCCGAAACUGACGCUGAGGCACGAAAGCGUGGGGAGCGAACAGG
rnacentral:rRNA from 1 species